CUAUUUCUUUUUUUAAUUUAGAAUAAAUUUUCAUCAGCCACCAAGCAUCUUGUUUUGAUCAUCAUCCUUUAAUUCAGAAAUUCUUGCAGAUUUUUAUAGUCCUAGAUAUUGUAAUCAUUUGUAGCACAUGGAUUAGGAUUUGUGUUUCUCUCCCCAAGAACCCAAGUUCAGAUUUACUUUGCUCCAGAUGGAGCAAUAAUUGUUCCAAUAAUAAUAGAUGUGAAACUGAAAGUAUAUCUUUGAUACUGAAUUUGUGAACUCUUUAUCAAUGGUCCAUAGAUGUCCUCUUUCUCUUGUCUUGUGUUUUUCUAACCACACUGAUGUCCAGAGGGCAGCUGAUUUCCAUAGCAGAACAUUAAUUGGAUCUU